rnacentral:snoRNA from 1 species
ACCCAAUGCUCUUGUCAGGACCCCUUCCCUGUUACCUUAUCCCAUGGAGGUUGUCUGUUAUAACAUUGGAAAAUUGAAAAUGCUACUCUCCAAGGCCCCAGCCCUCCGGUUGGAGGCCGGCGGAUGCCGUUUUGGCUACCGCCUUGAGAUGCAUCCAGGGUCACAUGAGUUGAAGCUUUCGCGAGCCUCGUCACGGGCUGCACCGUUUGGCGUGAACUUUUCUUAGUCAUGACCCUUACAUCU